UCAGCUCGCGUUGAUUACGUCCCUGCCCUUUGUACACACCGCCCGUCGCUCCUACCGAUUGGGUGUGCUGGUGAAGCGUUCGGAUUGGCGUUAGUGGGCGGUCUUCCGCCUGCUCUCACUGAGAAGUUCGUUAAACCCUCCCACCUAGAGGAAGGAGAAGUCGUAACAAGGUUUCCGUAGGUGAACCUGCGGAAGGAUCAUUG
rnacentral:rRNA from 1 species